rnacentral:rRNA from 1 species
UACAGAGGUGGCAAGCGUUGUUCGGAAUUACUGGGCGUAAAGGGCGCGUAGGCGGCCAUCUAAGUCAGACGUGAAAUCCCCCGGCUUAACCUGGGAACUGCGUCUGAUACUGGAAGGCUUGAGUAUGGGAGAGGGAUGUAGAAUUCCAGGUGUAGCGGUGAAAUGCGUAGAUAUCUGGAGGAAUACCGGUGGCGAAGGCGGCAUCCUGGACCAUUACUGACGCUGAGGCGCGAAAGCUAGGGGAGCAAACGGGG